rnacentral:snRNA from 1 species
UAAUUAACUAACUAACAUUGGAACGAUACAGCAUGGCCCCUGAGCAAGGAUGACACGCACAUUUGUGAAGUGUUCCAGAUUAAA